UUACAAUGGCAGGUACANAGGGAUGCUACCGGGCGACCGGAUGCGGAUCUCGAAAGCCUGUCCCAGUUCGGACUGGAGUCUGCAACCCGACUCCACGAAGUUGGAUUCGCUAGUAAUCGCGCAUCAGCCAUGGCGCGGUGAAUACGUUCCCGGGCCUUGUACACACCGCCCGUCAAGCCAUGGGAGCCGGGGGCGCCUGAAGUCCGGGACCGCGAGGACCGGCCUAGGGCGAAACUGGUAACUGGGGCUAAGUCGUAACAAGGUAUC
rnacentral:rRNA from 1 species